GGCUUGGGGUAUUGACAAGAGUGUUAUUAAAAUGUUGGACCUUGGCAUCUAAGUUGGACCAGGAGAAAAGUGAAAAGGAGAGAGCUGAGGAGAGCUCUCUAGGAGAACACGAGGUCAACAGCACAGAGAUCCUAUGAGAUGGAGCCGUGAUCACGAGGACUGAUGACUGAUUGGACAGUGAUGCAGGAGGGAAGGUCUCUGCAUGUCAGUGACUAAGUGACUGAAGAUGACACUGCCUGAGACGGGGAGUAUUGAAGGAGGAGCCAAGGUGGCAGAGUGGAGUGGGGCGAGGAUCACUGUGCAUGUGGGGGCAUGAGGUGAGAAGCCUGCUACAAGGUGCAGCUUACAUCAAGUAGGCCAAACAGCUGAGCUUCUGUGAGGUGGUGUGGACGUGUCUGACCCCCAGCCCCACUCAGGAUGGCACCC
rnacentral:lncRNA from 1 species